UCUCCGUUGGUGAACCAGCGGAGGGAUCAUUACUGGAAUCGCAAGAUCCCACAACCCCUGUGAACCUACCGAAACGUUGCCUCGGCGGGCGCCCGGCCCCGCGCCGGGCGCUGAGCCCGCCGGCGGCCCCCUACUCUUGUCUCUGCAGCGUGGCAUCUCAGAGCCCCAGAAAACAAGUAAAAACUUUCAACAACGGAUCUCUUGGCUCUA
rnacentral:misc_RNA from 1 species